ensembl:lncRNA
AGGUGCUUGCUGCGCUGUCUCGUUGCCUCGCGCACCAGCGGUGAGUGAGGUGGGUGUGCCAGCUCGGGGUGAAUCCGUGUCUGUGGGGUUGGCGUCUUUUCUGCCGUUCAUUUCUGGUGGCCAUGUUUCUCUGGUGGGGGCAGGUUGAAGGUGCCAGUUAAUAUACUGCGCGACACAGCGGCCUUUGAUUCCUUCAUUCAGGCUUCUGUGUUGCCUUUUUCCGCUGAGACUCACACAGGUUGUUGGGUGCCUGUUGUAGGUAUGGAAAUGAAUGUUUUGCAAGUCCCUCUGCACAAAAUCACAUUACACUCUGAUCUCUUCCAAGGCGAGAUAGCUGUGGGUGUGAGGCCGGCGCUGCCUGUUGAGGGGUCACUCUGAUCCUAGGUAACGGUGCUGCAGGUGAGCGUGUGUGGGGUGAUGUGGCCCCGUCUCCAGUGGUUUCCUCAGUUCCCCUGGUGAGGAAGCAGCCUGAUGAGGAUGAAAUAAGUUUCCCCGAAGUGUUCACAGCGUGUGCGGUGACGCGGUCUAUGUCCCAACAUUCUCCACCAGAGCCGCCUGAGUGUGGCGUGGGUGAUGGUGAGGCAGUAGAUGGGUUGUGUUUCUCCCUGUCUGAUGUUUCCCUUUCAGUUACGCAGGAAGAGUUGGAGAGUGAGCAGCGAGCCGACGCGUCCCUGAAGGGACUGUUUGACAUGGUGUUGCCUGCGUCGGAGGCGUUUGAGAGGAUAAAGUCUCUGCUGUGUGAAGCACCGGUCCUGGCCGCUCCGAGGUCUGACCGACCUUUUGUGCUUCAAGUCGACGCUAGUCACAUCGGAGUAGGUGGCGUUUUGUUGCAAGCCAAUGAGUUGGGUUUGGAAAAACCAGUCUGUUUCUUUUCCAAGAAAUUUAACUCAUAUCAAUUGAACUAUUCAACGAUUGAAAAGGAGGCACUGGCCUUAGUUUGGGCUCUGAGAAACUUUGAAGUGUACUUGGGCUCUGGAGCGGUACCCGUAGUGGUGUACACUGACCACAACCCACUUCUGUUUUUGAACUCGCUGCAAUGUCCUAACCAGCGUCUGAUACGUUGGUCGUUAUUUCUACAGUCACAUUGGCUUGAUAUUAGACACAUAAAGGGUGCGGAAAACGUCGUAGCCGACGCACUGUCUCGCGUUCCUCAAGAUUGAGGUUUGAGCUAAGACUUUAUUGCUGUUAUGAUGUUGUCCUGUUGCGCUCCUGUUCCCUCUUCUGUCAUCCUUCCCUCUUAAAUUGCUUCCCACUGGUACCAGGUUGCUGAGGUGGGGGUGUGGAAGAUGCGCGUAGUGAGCUGUGUGGUUCUCAACAGCAGCUGGUGUUCCUGUCCUCGGAUGUGUGUGCCCUUGUGUGUGUGCCUUAAACAUCGUAAACUCUAUACGUGUAAAAAAAAAAAAAAAAAAAAGUAAAACUUCAAAGUAAGUAAAAGGUAUAUAUUUGUGAAAAAAAAAAAAAAAUCUUUAAAGUAAGUAGAAUGUAUAUAUUUGUGCUGGUCAUAUUAUUAGAAUAUCAUGAAAAAGUUGAUUUAUUUCAU